rnacentral:rRNA from 1 species
GCCUGUUCUAGAACCGAUAACCCCCGUUCAACCUCACCCUUCCUUGUUUAACCCGCCUAUAUACCGCCGUCGUCAGCUUACCCUGUGAAGGACUAAUAGUAAGCAAAACUGGUACAACCUAAAACGUCAGGUCGAGGUGUAGCGUAUGGAGGGGGAAGAAAUGGGCUACAUUCGCUACUACAGCGAACACGAAUGAUAUACUGAAACGUAAAUCUGAAGGAGGAUUUAGCAGUAAGCAGGAAAUAGAGCGUCCCGCUGAAACUGGCCCUGAAGCGCGCACACACCGCCCGUCACUCUCCCCAAAAACACCAAUCAAUUAACUAAAACCUAAUAAUUAAAAAGGGGAGGCAAGUCGUAACAUGGUAAGUGUACCGGAAGGUGCGCUUGGAAAA